rnacentral:other from 1 species
GAUGGACGAAUUUAAUGUUUUUUUGCGGUCGACCGCAAAAAAUCUUAAAAAAAGCUUUGCUUAUUUCCCUUAUGCCCCCAUACUCAAGGUUCGGGAUUUCCAGGCAGUGUGUUGUUCCUGCACCGUAAUCGGUUUGUCAGCUCCUCGGUCUUGGUUCUCGUUCUUAUUAAUAUUUUUUCCAAGGAAGCUAUAAAAUGGCAACUGGUACCGUCAAGUGGUUCAACGACUCCAAAGGUUUUGGUUUCAUCUCCCCGUCUGAAGGUGGUGAAGACCUCUUCGCUCACUUCUCUGCAAUUCAAGGCAAUGGUUUCAAGACCCUGGCCGAGAACCAGAAGGUGACGUUCGACGUCGUCAAUGGCCCGAAGGGCAAGCAGGCUGCCAACAUCCGCCCGGCUGAAUAAGCUACCGGAUACGCCUGUAUCGAAAAGCCCGGCUUGCCGGGCUUUUUGC